GACGAACGCUGGCGGCGUGCCUAAUACAUGCAAGUCGUGCGGACCUUGUUGAAAGCUUGCUUUUAAAAGGUUAGCGGCGGACGGUUGAGUAACACGUGGGCAACCUGCCUGUAAGACUGGGAUAACGCCGGGAAACCGGGGCUAAUACCAGAUCGUUUUUUCCUCCGCAUGGAGGAAAAAGGAAAGGCGGCUUCGGCUGCCACUUACAGAUGGGCCCGCGGCGCAUUAGCUAGUUGGCGGGGUAAUGGCCCACGAAGGCAACGAUGCGUAGGCGACCUGAGAGGGUGCUCGGCCACAUUGGGACUGAGACACGGCCCAACCUCCUACGGGAGGCAGCAGUAGGGAAUCGUCCGCAAUGGACGCAAGUCUGACGGAGCAACGCCGCGUGAGUGAAGAAGGCCUUCGGGUCGUAAAACUCUGUUGCCGGGGAAGAACAAGUGCCGUUCGAACAGGGCGGCGCCUUGACGGUACCCGGCCAGAAAGCCACGGCUAACUCCGUG
rnacentral:rRNA from 1 species